rnacentral:rRNA from 1 species
ACGAACGCUGGCGGCACGCUUAACACAUGCAAGUCGAACGAGAGAAGAGAAGCUUGCUUUUCUGAUCUAGUGGCGGACGGGUGAGUAACACGUGAGCAAUCUGCCUUUCAGAGGGGGAUACCGAUUGGAAACGAUCGUUAAUACCGCAUAACAUAAUUGAACCGCAUGAUUUGAUUAUCAAAGAUUUAUCGCUGAAAGAUGAGCUCGCGUCUGAUUAGCUAGUUGGUAAGGUAACGGCUUACCAAGGCGACGAUCAGUAGCCGGACUGAGAGGUUGAUCGGCCACAUUGGGACUGAGACACGGCCCAGACUCCUACGGGAGGCAGCAGUGGGGAAUAUUGCACAAUGGAGGAAACUCUGAUGCAGCGAUGCCGCGUGAGGGAAGAAGGUUUUAGGAUUGUAAACCUCUGUCUUCAGGGACGAAAAAAGACGGUACCUGAGGAGGAAGCUCCGGCUAACUACGUGCCAGCAGCCGCGGUAAUACGUAGGGAGCGAGCGUUGUCCGGAAUUACUGGGUGUAAAGGGAGCGUAGGCGGGAUCGCAAGUCAGAUGUGAAAACUAUGGGCUUAACCCAUAAACCGCAUUUGAAACUGUGGUUCUUGAGUGAAGUAGAGGUAAGCGGAAUUCCUAGUGUAGCGGUGAAAUGCGUAGAUAUUAGGAGGAACAUCAGUGGCGAAGGCGGCUUACUGGGCUUUAACUGACGCUGAGGCUCGAAAGCGUGGGGAGCAAACAGGAUUAGAUACCCUGGUAGUCCACGCCGUAAACGAUGAUUACUAGGUGUGGGGGGACUGACCCCUUCCGUGCCGCAGCAAACGCAAUAAGUAAUCCACCUGGGGAGUACGACCGCAAGGUUGAAACUCAAAGGAAUUGACGGGGGCCCGCACAAGCAGUGGAGUAUGUGGAUUAAUUCGAAGCAACGCGAAGAACCUUACCAGGUCUUGACAUCGUAUGCAUAGCUCAGAGAUGAGUGAAAUCUCUUCGGAGACAUAUAGACAGGUUGUGCAUGGUUGUCGUCAGCUCGUGCCACGCGAUGUUGGGUUAAGUCCCGCAACGAGCGCAACCCUUACUGUUAGUUGCUACGCAAGAGCACUCUAGCAGGACUGCCGUUGACAAAACGGAGGAAGGUGGGGAUGACGUCAAAUCAUCAUGCCCCUUAUGACCUGGGCCUCACACGUACUACAAUGGCUGUCAACAGAGGGAAGCAAAGCCGCGAGGUGGAGCAAACCCCUAAAAGCAGUCUUAGUUCGGAUUGUAGGCUGCAACCCGCCUACAUGAAGUCGGAAUUGCUAGUAAUCGCAGAUCAGCAUGCUGCGGUGAAUACGUUCCCGGGCCUUGUACACACCGCCCGUCACGCCAUGGGAGUCGGUAACACCCGAAGCCUGUAGUCUAACCGCAAGGAGGACGCAGUCGAAGGUGGGAUUGAUGACUGGGGUG